CUACGAGGGGUGCAAGCGUUAAUCGGAAUUACUGGGCGUAAAGCGUUCGUAGGCGGUUUGUUAAGCAAGAUGUGAAAGCCCUGGGCUCAACCUGGGAACUGCAUUUUGAACUGGCAAGCUAGAAUACUGUAGAGGGUGGUGGAAUUUCCAGUGUAGCGGUGAAAUGCGUAGAGAUUGGAAGGAACAUCAGUGGCGAAGGCGGCCACCUGGACAGAUAUUGACGCUGAGGAACGAAAGCGUGGGGAGCGAACAGGAUUAGAUACCCUAGUAGUCC
rnacentral:rRNA from 1 species